GCUUGAGAAGCUCAAUUGGUAGAGCGGGACACUGAAGCUGUUCAGGCUGUAAGUUCAAAUCUUAUCUCGGGCA
rnacentral:tRNA from 3 species